rnacentral:rRNA from 1 species
GACGUAGGGGGCCAGCGUUGUUCGGAAUUACUGGGUGUAAAGGGUUCGUAGGCGGUGUGGCAAGUUGGGAGUGAAAUCUCUGGGCUUAACCCAGAGGCUGCUUCCAAAACUGCUGUGCUUGAGUGUGGGAGAGGCGCGUGGAAUUGCAGGUGUAGCGGUGAAAUGCGUAGAUAUCUGCAGGAACACCCGUGGCGAAAGCGGCGCGCUGGACCACUACUGACGCUGAGGAACGAAAGCUAGGGGAGCAAACAGG